rnacentral:rRNA from 1 species
AGGAAUCUUUCCGUAGCACUCUCGGAAGCCUUUGCAAGCCCUGCGGGGUCCCGCGACUAUAAACACCGGGUAGCAAGUGGCCUAACUGGCCGCAACAUGAUCGAAUUGCGGGGACAUCCUAAAGCCCACGGUACCACCCGCUCGCGGAAACGCGAGCCGGGCCUCUACGCCCCGUAGAGGAGGGUUAUAACCCGUAGGGAUGUACAAUGGACGAUCCGCAGCGAAACCCCUACGGCUCUGGCUACGGGGGACGUUCACAGACUAAGUGGUUAUGGGUAGGGCCUUUAGGGCCCUGCUUCGAUAUGGUCGGCCUAUGGGGAAACCCAAUAGACAGCUUCAACGUUCCGUAGGUGAACCUGCGGAAGGAUCAUUAACAGAGUUCCUGCCCCCACGGGUAGAAACCCCCACCCUUGCGUAUUGUAUAUUUGUUGCUUUGGCGGGCCGCCUAUAGGCUCUCUAUACCGGCUUCGGCUGGGCCGCGCCCGCCAGAGGACCCUAAAUUCUUAUAUUUCAGUGAAGUCUGAGUACUAUCUAAUAGUUAAAACUUUCAACAACGGAUCUCUUGGUUCUGGCAUCGMUGAAGAACGCAGCGAAAUGCGAUAAGUAAUGUGAAUUGCAGAAUUCAGUGAAUCAUCGAAUCUUUGAACGCAUAUUGCGCCCCUUGGUAUUCCGAGGGGCAUGCCUGUUCGAGCGUCAUUAUCGACCAUCCAGCACGGCUGGGUCUUGGGCGCCGCCCCCUAGGGGCGGGCCUUAAAAUCCGUGGCGGUGCCGCUAGGCCCCGAGCGUAGUAAAUACCCUCGCUACGGGAGCCUGACGGACGCUAGCCAGCAACCCCCCUUAUUCAAUCAGGUUGACCUCGGAU